AUUGAACGCUAGCGGGAUGCUUUACACAUGCAAGUCGAACGAGUGGCGGACGGGUGAGAAAUAUAUCGGAACGUGCACAGUAGCGGGGGAUAACUACUCGAAAGAGUGGCUAAUACCACAUCCUAUUGUAGCGGCCGAUAUCGGAAUAUCUAGGUGGUGGGGUAAAGUCUCACCAAGGCAACGAUCCGUAGCGGGUUUGAGAGGACGACCAGCCACACUGGGACUGAGACACGGCCCAGACUCCUACGGGAGGCAGCAGUGGGGAAGUUUGGACAAUGGGGGAAACCCUGAUCCAGCCAUCCCGCGUGUAUGAGAAGGCCUUCGGGUGGUAAAGUACUUUUGGCAGAGAAGCGGUAUCUGCAGAAUAAGCACCGGCUAACUACGUGCCAGCAGCCGCGGUAAUUC
rnacentral:rRNA from 1 species